rfam:Corvus brachyrhynchos isolate BGI_N302 unplaced genomic scaffold scaffold71, whole genome shotgun sequence.
UAACCUCUGACAUGAAUGAGAGCUAAAUGUGAAUGUUA